CGUGUAGGCGGGUUGGUAAGUCAGAUGUGAAAGCCCUGGGCUCAACCCAGGAAGAGCAUUUGAAACUGCCAUCCUUGAGUAUGGGAGGGGAGAGUGGAAUUCCCAGUGUAGAGGUGAAAUUCGUAGAUAUUGGGAGGAACACCCGUAGCGAAGGCGACUCUCUGGACCAAUACUGACGCUGAGACGCGAAAGCGUGGGUAGCAAACAGGAUUAGAUACCCUGGUAGUC
rnacentral:rRNA from 1 species